rnacentral:rRNA from 1 species
CUACGGGGGGCUCCAGUGGGGAAUAUUGCACAAUGGAGGAAACUCUGAUGCAGCAACGCCGCGUGGAGGAUGACACUUUUCGGAGCGUAAACUCCUUUUAUAUAGGAAGAAGAUGACGGUACUAUAUGAAUAAGCGCCGGCUAACUCCGUGCCAGCAGCCGCGGUAAUACGGAGGGCGCAAGCGUUACUCGGAAUCACUGGGCGUAAAGAGCGUGUAGGCGGAUUAAAAGGUCAGAAGUGAAAUCCUAUAGCUUAACUAUAGAACUGCUUCUGAAACUCUUAAUCUAGAAUAUGGGAGAGGUAGAUGGAAUUUCUGGUGUAGGGGUAAUAUACGUAGAGAUCAGAAGGAAUACCGAUUGCGAAGGCGAUCUACUAGAACAUUAUUGACGCUGAGACGCGAAAGCGUGGGGAGCAAACAGGAUUAGAUACCCCUGUAGUC